CCUACGGGCGGCAGCAGUGGGGGAUAUUGCACAAUGGGGGGAACCCUGAUGCAGCGAAGCCGCGUGGGUGAAGAAGCGCCUCGGCGCGUAAAGCCCUGUCAGCAGGGAAGAAAAUGACGGUACCUGAAGCAGAAGCCCCGGCUAACUACGAGCCAGCAGCCGCGGUAAUACGUAGGGGGCAGGCGUUAUCCGGAUUUACUGGGUGUAAAGGGGGCGCAGUCGGCGAUGCAAGCCAGGAGUGAAAGCCCGGGGCCCAACCCCGGGACUGCUCUUGGAACUGCGUGGCUGGAGUGCAGGAGGGGCAGGCGGAAUGCCUGGUGUAGCGGUGAAAUGCGUAGAUAUCAGGAGGAACACCGGUGGCGAAGGCGGCCUGCUGGACUGCAACUGACGUUGAGGCCCGAAAGCGUGGGGAGCAAACAGGAUUAGAUACCCCUGUAGUC
rnacentral:rRNA from 1 species